rnacentral:lncRNA from 1 species
CAGGUAGCUGGUAAAACAUUGUUCCUGGGUGUGUCUGGGAGGGAGUUUCUGAAAGAGAUCAGCAUUUGAAUCAGUGGACUGAGUAAAGAAGAUCCGUCGUCACCAAUGUGGGAGGGAAAAGAAAAUGCAGGCAGGUGGCACAUUAGUGACCACCCUCCAGAGCCCAGUGCCUAUGAAUACUCAGCAGCUCCAAGGCUGAGACCCUAACCAACUGUGAAGAUGGAUCUGGCAUCCCAAGGCUCACCUGACAGGGAGAGGCAGAGCGCUCAUGAGAUCUGCUUGUUGGAAAGUGUGUAGCACCUCCUCCUUCGCUCUCUUCCUCCUACUCUGCCAUGGUAAGACAUGCUUGCUUGCCCUUCACCUUCUG